CAGCACCCCAAGUGGUCAGGAUGAUUAUUGGGCCUAAAGCAUCCGUAGCCGGCGCUGUAAGUUUUCGGUUAAAUCUGUACGCCCAACGUACAGGCUGCCGGGAAUACUGCAGCGCUAGGGAGUGGGAGAGGUAGACGGUACUCGGUAGGAAGGGGUAAAAUCCUUUGAUCUAUUGAUGACCACCUGUGGCGAAGGCGGUCUACCAGAACACGUCCGACGGUGAGGGAUGAAAGCUGGGGGAGCAAACCGGAUUAGAUACCCGAGUAGUCC
rnacentral:rRNA from 1 species